rnacentral:lncRNA from 1 species
GGUACAACUCGCCGUUUGUCCAAGUGAGUUUGAUCGGAUUGGUCUGUUUCUGCUGCCCUGGCAUGUUCAUGGCCCUCUCUGGCAUGGGCGGCGGAGGCCAGGUCGACCCGACUGCCUCCAACAACGCCUCCACCGCCCUCUAUACCACCUUCGCCGUCUUCGGAAUUCUCGGCGGCGGCAUCUACAACAUCCUCGGCCCCCGCCUCACUCUCCUCUCCGCCUGCCCCACCUACGUCCUCUACGCCGGCUCAUUCCUCUACUACAACCACCACAAGCACCAGGCUUUCGCUAUUGUCGCCGGAGUAAUCCUCGGAAUCGGCGCCGGCCUCCUCUGGGCAGGCCAAGGCGCCAUCAUGACGUCAUACCCUCCCCCGAACCGAAAGGGGACAUACAUCUCGAUUUUCUGGAGCAUUUUCAACAUGGGUGGCGUCAUCGGUGGACUAAUUCCCUUCGUUCUUAAUUACCACCGGAGCGAAGCGGCUUCCGUCAACGAUGCAACUUACAUUGGGAUAAUGAUUUUCAUGUCCAUCGGGACUCUUUUAUCCCUCUCUAUCCUGCCCGCCAGCAAAGUUGUCCGGGACGACGGGACUAAAUGUACGGACAUUCAGUACUCAAAUGUCACAACUGAGGCCAUUGAGAUUGCCAAGCUGUUUACGAAUUGGAAAAUGCUUCUUAUAAUCCCGGCUGCUUGGUCGGGCAAUUUUUUCUACACCUACCAGUUCAACAACGUCAACCAAAUUAUGUUUAAUCUGAGGACGAGAGGAUUGAACAAUGUGUUCUACUGGGGAGCGCAGAUGUUGGGGUCCAUCGGGAUUGGAUACGUUAUGGAUUUCAGCUUCAAGAGCAGGAGGACGAGGGGUUUCGCUGGCAUUUCAGUAGUUGGUGUUCUCGGGACUACAAUUUGGAUUGGCGGACUUGUCAACCAGCUCAACUACUCUCGCAGUGAUUUGCCUGAGAAGUUGGAUUUUAAGGACUCCGGCUCUGCUUUCGCAGGACCCUUCGUGUUGUAUUUUAGUUUCGGACUGCUUGAUGCCAUGUUCCAGAGCAUGAUUUACUGGGUCAUUGGAGCCUUGGCUGAUAACUCUGAAAUUCUAAGCAGGUAACAGGAUAUUCCUUGCUUCUCAACUUUUUCAUUUCUCAAUGAUCUUCGUGCGUUUAGGCAAUUUUUCGUGCGCAGGCGUGGACAAUCCAAUCCAAUCAUGCGCACGAAAUGUGGCCUUAGUUACAGUCACAGAACAAAGAGUGAUGCUAAAAACUCAUAUUUUUGUGCAUGUUUUGUACAGGUAUGUUGGAUUCUACAAAGGAAUACAGAGUGCAGGGGCAGCAGUUGCUUGGCAAGUCGAUACGCUCAAGGCAUCCUUCCUCUCCCAAUUGGUUACCAAUUUCGCGCUCAACACCGUGAGUUAUCCGCUGCUGCUGGUUCUGAUCUUGCUGGCUGUGAAGGAUGAAGGUAAGGCUGAUGUGGAGGAAUUUACCAAGGAGAAGGUUGCUGAGCCUGCAGCCUCAGAGAAGUGAUCAUAAUGAUCGUCGGCUUAAUUAGCAGAUCAAAUUAGUCAUAAGCUCUGAAUAUUUGAUUUAAUUACGUUCAUACAAUCGAAUCUUCACGAAUUAGUGUAAAUUAUGUACCAUGUUCAAAUUGUCAAGUAUUUUACUGAGUAAAUGUUGUAAUGGAGGUACUAUAUUGAAAUAAAAUAGUAGGUGGGGUAUGAAAGUGAAAUGUUUUAAAGAUGUUGUAUAGAGUUGUAAUAGACUUUAAACUUGAGGGGUAACUAUGUAAUUUACCCUAAUAAAUAAUACACCGUUAUUGUGGGAAGAUUUUUUCAGUACGUCGAAAACCCGGCCUGGUACACCAAAUAUAAUAAUAUAAUUAGUUGAAAAUUGAAAAUAAAAUUUCAACCAAUUAUAUUAUUACACUUGUGUACCGAACGUGUUCCAAAUACACUGAAAAAUUUAUCGCUACUUUAGCAUAACGUCCCAAUAAGUUAGAAGUAUAUGUAAUAUUUUAUCCGCGCGUCUUUAUUUCUUUAACGCUUAUAGUUAUACCAUCUAAGUUGUUUUCGCUCUUCACUCUUUGUCUCUCUUUCCGUGGACCAUGAAUCAAGGACAGUUUGGCAUGGACAUAUACAGUAUACUCAUAUACCCAUCCCACUAGGGAAUUAAAAUACAAGAUUCCUUUCCACCUAUUAUCUAACGAAUGAUUGAAAUUUUGAAAUUGACUGAAUUUUUUAUGGAUUUAACUUCGCUGCGGCUUUCAUCCAAUUUCGAUUGGACACGUAUACCAGUUUUGAUUAAAAAAAUUAAAAUUUGAACACGUGUUCAGUCGGGUGUGAGCAGCUGCUGAAUCUGCAGCAGCCAAAUCCAGUUUUUUUUUAUUUUUUUUAUGCGUAUUCAUAUCCCGUCCCGUCGGGAUUAAGGAUUUAUAAUCCGACUUUUCUCAGCAUCAUUCUCACACGCCCCGCUGGACUCUGAAAACCCAGACAAAGCCUGGACUCCAGAAAUUGUCAUUUGCUUUGCAUUCUUUGUCCAAUCCAAGGGUCCUUGUCCGUUUUGACCCUUGCAAUUAGUCGUGGACUAUAUCGUCCCGAGCUAAAUCCUUCUGCUAAUCACAACCACAUAUGUCAGUUCAUCCUUCCCAUAAAUUAGAUUAGUUUAGAAUAUCGCUCGAGAAAAAGUUCGGAUCCCAGUUCCAUUUGGCAUUCAAAGGGAGGAACUUUGUGAUUAAAAUCACACAAAAGUCGUAAAAUUUAUCACCUGGGAUUCGAUGGUUUCCGAAGGAGUGGAAGAAUCGGGAGGCACGGAGGUGCCCCAGUCAAAAUUCAGGUACAACUCGCCGUUUGUCCAAGUGAGUUUGAUCGGAUUGGUCUGUUUCUGCUGCCCUGGCAUGUUCAACGCCCUCUCCGGCAUGGGCGGCGGAGGCCAGGUCGAUCCGACCGCCGCUAACAACGCCUCCACCGCCCUCUAUACCACCUUCGCCGUCUUCGGUAUCCUCGGUGGCGGCAUCUACAACAUCCUCGGCCCCCGCCUCACUCUCCUCUCCGCCUGCUCCACCUACGUUCUCUACGCCGGCUCAUUCCUCUACUACAACCACCACAAACACCAGGCUUUCGCUAUUGUCGCCGGAGCAAUCCUCGGAAUCGGCGCCGGCCUCCUCUGGGCCGGCC